GGAUAACCUACCCUUAGGACUGGGAUAACCCUGGGAAACUGGGGCUAAUACCGGAUAGGCAAUUUUUCCUGGAAUGGUUUUUUGUUUAAAUGUUUUUUCGCCUAAGGAUGGGUCUGCGGCCGAUUAGGUAGUUGGUUAGGUAAUGGCUUACCAAGCCGUUGAUCGGUACGGGUUGUGAGAGCAAGAGCCCGGAGAUGGAACCUGAGACAAGGUUCCAGGCCCUACGGGGUGCAGCAGGCGCGAAACCUCCGCAAUGUGAGAAAUCGCGACGGGGGGAUCCCAAGUGCCAUUCUUAACGGGAUGGCUUUUCAUUAGUGUAAAGAGCUUUUGGAAUAAGAGCUGGGCAAGACCGGUGCCAGCCGCCGCGGUAACACCGGCAGCUCUAGUGGUAGCAAUUUUUAUUGGGCCUAAAGCGUCCGUAGCCGGUUUAAUAAGUCACUGGUGAAAUCCUGUAGCUUAACUGUGGGAAUUGCUGGAGAUACUAUUAGACUUGAGACCGGGAGAGGUUGGAGGUACUCCCAGGGUAGAGGUGAAAUUCUGUAAUCCUGGGAGGACCGCCUGUUGCGAAGGCGUCUAACUGGAACGGUUCUGACGGUGAGGGACGAAAGUUAGGGGCGCGAACCGGAUUAGAUACCCGGGUAGUCCUGGCCGUAAACGAUGCGGACUUGGUGUUGGGAUGGCUUUGAGCCGCUCCGGUGC
rnacentral:rRNA from 1 species